rnacentral:rRNA from 1 species
UACAGGGGGUGCAAACGUUGCUCGGAAUCAUUGGGCGUAAAGCGCGUGUAGGCGGCUUUCUAAGUCGGGGGUGAAAUCCUGGAGCUCAACUCCAGAACUGCCUUCGAUACUGAGGAUCUUGAGUUCGGGAGAGGUGAGUGGAACUGCGAGUGUAGAGGUGAAAUUCGUAGAUAUUCGCAAGAACACCAAUGGCGAAGGCAGCUCGCUGGAACGGUACUGACGCUGAGACGCGAAAGCGUGGGGAGCGAACAGG